UANNCGGAAUCACUGGGCUUAAAGGGUCCNUAGGCGGGACUGCAGGCGUCGAGUGAAAUCCCACGGCUCAACCGUGGAACUGCUCGGCGAACCGCAGUUCUUGAGGCGAGUAGAGGCGAUCAGAACGAUAGGUGGAGCGGUGAAAUGCGUAGAUAUCUAUCGGAAUGCCAAAGGUGAAGACAGGUCGCUGGGCUCGUCCUGACGCUGAGGGACGAAAGCGUGGGGAGCAAACGGGAUUAGAUACCCCGGUAGUCCACGCCGUAAACAAUGCGCACUGGGUCGGGGAGGUUUGACGCCUUCCUGGCCGAAGCAAAAGUGUUAAGUGCGCCGCCUGGGGAGUACGGUCGCAAGGCUAAAACUCAAAGGAAUUGACGGGGGCUCACACAAGCGGUGGAGCAUGUGGCUUAAUUCGAAGCAACGCGAAGAACCUUAUCCCAGGCUUGACAUCUAUGGAUUAGUCCUAUGAAAGUAGGAUGACAGUCGCAAGACCGGAACAUGGACAGGUGCUGCAUGGCUGUCGUCAGCUCGUGCUGUGAAGUGUCGGGUUAAGUCCCUCAACGAGCGAAACCCCUAUCGUUAGUUGCUAACAGGUAAUGCUGAGGACUCUAGCGAGACUGCCGGUGUCAAACCGGAGGAAGGUGGGGAUGACGUCAAGUCCUCAUGGCCCUUAUGCCUGGGGCUGCACACGUGCUACAAUGGUGAAUACAGAACGAUGCAAGACCGCGAGGUGGAGCAAAUCGCUUAAAGUUCACCCCAGUUCAGAUAGCAGGCUGCAACCCGCCUGCUUGAAGUCGGAAUCGCUAGUAAUCGCGGAUCAGCUACGCCGCGGUGAAUAUGUUCCUGAGCCUUGUACACACCGCCCGUCAAGUCAUGGGAGCUGGCAGUGCCCGAAGUCGCGCAAAUUCAUGCGUGCCCACGGCAAGGCUGGUGACUGGGACU
rnacentral:rRNA from 1 species